rnacentral:rRNA from 1 species
CCUACGGGGUGCAGCAGUGAGGAAUAUUGGUCAAUGGACGAGAGUCUGAACCAGCCAAGUAGCGUGAAGGAUGACUGCCCUAUGGGUUGUAAACUUCUUUUAUAUGGGAAUAAAAUGUUCCACGUGUGGGAUUUUGUAUGUACCAUAUGAAUAAGGAUCGGCUAACUCCGUGCCAGCAGCCGCGGUAAUACGGAGGAUCCGAGCGUUAUCCGGAUUUAUUGGGUUUAAAGGGAGCGUAGGUGGAUUGUUAAGUCAGUUGUGAAAGUUUGCGGCUCAACCGUAAAAUUGCAGUUGAAACUGGCAGUCUUGAGUACAGUAGAGGUGGGCGGAAUUCGUGGUGUAGCGGUGAAAUGCUUAGAUAUCACGAAGAACUCCGAUUGCGAAGGCAGUUCACUGGACUGCAACUGACACUGAGGCUCGAAAGUGUGGGUAUCAAACAGGAUUAGAUACCCUUGUAGU